rnacentral:rRNA from 1 species
GACGAACGCUGGCGGCGUGCCUAAUACAUGCAAGUCGAGCGAAUCAAUGGGAGCUUGCUCCCUGAGAUUAGCGGCGGACGGGUGAGUAACACGUGGGUAACCUGCCUGUAAGACUGGGAUAACUUCGGGAAACCGGAGCUAAUACCGGAUACGUUCUUUUCUCGCAUGAGAAGAGAUGGAAAGAUGGUUCCGGCUAUACCUUACAGAUUGACCCGCGGCGCAUUAGCUAGUUGGUGAGGUAACGGCGCACCAAGGCGACGAUGCGUAGCCGACCUGAGAGGGUGAUCGGCCACACUGGGACUGAGACACGGCCCAGACGCCUACGGGAGGCAGCAGUAGGGAAUCUUCCGCAAUGGACGAAAGUCUGACGGAGCAACGCCGCGUGAGCGAAGAAGGCCUUCGGGUCGUAAAGCUCUGUUGUUAGGGAAGAACAAGUACAAGAGUAACUGCUUGUACCUUGACGGUACCUAACCAGAAAGCCACGGCUAACUACGUGCCAGCCGCCGCGGUAA